AGAACGAACGCUGGCGGUAUGCCUAACACAUGCAAGUCGAACGAGAAAGUGAUCUUCGGAUCGCGAGUAGAGUGGCGCACGGGUGAGUAACACGUGGAUAACCUGCCCUAUGGUCAGGGAUAACACUUCGAAAGGGGUGCUAAUACCUGAUAAGCCUACGACUCCUUUGGGGGAUGUAGGAAAAGAUUUAUUGCCAUAGGAUGGGUCCGCGGUCCAUUGGCUAGUGGUGGGGUAAUGGCCUACCAAGGCGACGAUGGAUAGCUGGUCUGAGAGGAUGAUCAGCCACACUGGAACUGAGACACGGUCCAGACUCCUACGGGAGGCAGCAGUGGGGAAUUUUGCGCAAUGGACGAAAGUCUGACGCAGCAAUACCGCGUGAAGGAUGAAGGCCCUUGGGUCGUAAACUUCUGUCAGUGGGGAAGAAAUACUCGUAAGAGUGCUGACGGUACCCACAAAGGAAGCACCGGCUAACUCCGUGCCAGCAGCCGCGGUAAUACGGAGGGUGCAAGCGUUGUUCGGAAUUAUUGGGCGUAAAGAGCAUGUAGGCGGACUAUUAAGUCUGGUGUGAAAGCCCUGGGCUCAACCCAGGAAGUGCAUUGGAUACUGAUAGUCUUGAGUAUGGGAGAGGAAAGUGGAAUUCCGAGUGUAGGAGUGAAAUCCGUAGAUAUUCGGAGGAACACCAGUGGCGAAGGCGGCUUUCUGGACCAAUACUGACGCUGAGAUGCGAAAGCGUGGGGAGCGAACAGGAUUAGAUACCCUGGUAGUCCACGCCGUAAACGAUGGGUACUAGGUGUUGCGGGUAACCACUCCUGCAGUGCCGUAGCUAACGCAUUAAGUACCCCGCCUGGGGAGUACGGCCGCAAGGCUA
rnacentral:rRNA from 1 species